UGGAUGAUGUGGAUUAAUUCGAUGCAACGCGAAAACCUUACUACCCUUGACAUGUCCGGAAUCCCGAAGAGAUUUGGGAGUGCUCGCAAGAGAACCGGAACACAGGUGCUGCAUGGCUGUCGUCAGCUCGUGUCGCGAGAUGUUGGGUUAAGUCCCGCAACGAGCGCAACCCUUGUCAUUAGUUGCCAUCAUUUGGUUGGGCACUCUAAUGAGACUGCCGGCGACAAACCGGAGGAAGGUGGGGAUGACGUCAAGUCCUCAUGGCCCUUAUGGGUAGGGCUUCACACGUCAUACAAUGGUCGGUACAGAGGGUUGCCAACCCGCGAGGGGGAGCUAAUCCCACAAAGCCGAUCGUAGUCCGGAUCGCAGUCUGCAACUCGACUGCGUGAAGUCGGAAUCGCUAGUAAUCGUGGAUCAGCAUGUCACGGUGAAUACGUUCCCGGGUCUU
rnacentral:rRNA from 1 species